CCUACGGGUGGCAGCAGUGGGGGAUAUUGGACAAUGGGGGAAACCCUGAUCCAGCGACGCCGCGUGAGGGAAGAAGUAUCUCGGGAUGUAAAGCUCUGUCAGCAGGGAAGAAAGAAAUGACGGUACUUGACCAAGAGGCACCGGCGAACUACGUGCCAGCAGCAGCGGUAAUACGUAGGGGGCAAGCGGUAUCCGGAAUUACUGGGUGUAAAGGGAGCGUAGACGGUUAAGUAGGUCGGGAGUGAAAGGCCGGGGCGCAACCCCGGGACUGCUCUGGAAACUAUUGAACUUGAGUGCAGGAGAGGUAAGCGGAAUUCCUAGUGUAGCAGUGAAAUGCGUAGAUAUUAGGAGGAACACUAGUGGCGAAGGCGGCUUACUGGACUGUAACUGACGUUGAGGCACGAAAGCGUGGGGAGCGAAAAGGAUUAGAUACCCGAGUAGUC
rnacentral:rRNA from 1 species